GACGAACGCUGGCGGCGUGCUUAACACAUGCAAGUCGAACGAUGAAGCCGGAGCUUGCUCUGGUGAAUUAGUGGCGAACGGGUGAGUAACACGUGAGUAACCUGCCCUUGACUCUGGGAUAACUGCUAGAAAUGGUAGCUAAUACCGGAUACGACCCUCGGAGGCAUCUCCAGGGGGUGGAAAGAAUUUCGGUCGAGGAUGGACUCGCGGCCUAUCAGCUAGUUGGUGAGGUAAUGGCUCACCAAGGCGACGACGGGUAGCCGGCCUGAGAGGGUGACCGGCCACACUGGGACUGAGACACGGCCCAGACUCCUACGGGAGGCAGCAGUGGGGAAUAUUGCACAAUGGGCGCAAGCCUGAUGCAGCAACGCCGCGUGAGGGAUGACGGCCUUCGGGUUGUAAACCUCUUUUAGUAGGGAAGAAGCGAAAGUGACGGUACCUGCAGAAAAAGCACCGGCUAACUCCGUGCCAGCAGCCGCAGUAA
rnacentral:rRNA from 1 species